rnacentral:tRNA from 1 species
UCCCUGGCAGUCAAAUGGUUAAGACUCUGCACUUUCAAUGCAGGGGGCGCAGGUUCAAUCCCUGACCAGGGAA